CUGUGUGCAGAGCCGAGCCGGGCUCCCACCAGGAGCAGAGCCCGCGCGCCGGACGACGGUGAGGACCCUUGGAAAUGUGAAACCCUCGGAGAGCAACUUGACUUUGAAUGCAGCAUAUAAUCACCACUAACACACAGUGUGUUUGCUCUUGGCCGGGCACUAUUCCAAGUUCUUUCUGUUUUCCCAGUUUUUCUACCUGCAGACAGAGAAUUGUUCUUCUUCUGUGGAUGCCUCCGGGUCCCUUUGCCAGCCUACCUCCCUCGUAAGAACUCAGGACCACACUGACCAGCAGUGCUGACUGUAGGCAGCUCACCUUCCUCCUGACCUUGGAGACCUUGAG